rnacentral:rRNA from 1 species
AGUGAACGCUGGCGGUAGGCCUAACACAUGCAAGUCGAACGGCAGCACAGUAAGAGCUUGCUCUUACGGGUGGCGAGUGGCGGACGGGUGAGGAAUACAUCGGAAUCUACUUUUUCGUGGGGGAUAACGUAGGGAAACUUACGCUAAUACCGCAUACGACCUACGGGUGAAAGCAGGGGAUCUUCGGACCUUGCGCGAUUGAAUGAGCCGAUGUCGGAUUAGCUAGUUGGCGGGGUAAAGGCCCACCAAGGCGACGAUCCGCAGCUGGUCUGAGAGGAUGAUCAGCCACACUGGAACUGAGACACGGUCCAGACUCCUACGGGAGGCAGCAGUGGGGAAUAUUGGACAAUGGGCGCAAGCCUGAUCCAGCCAUACCGUGUGGGUGAAGAAGGCCUUCGGGUUGUAAAGCCCUUUUGUUGGGAAAGAAAAGCAGCAGGUUAAUACCCCGCUGUUCUGACGGUACCCAAAGAAUAAGCACCGGCUAACUUCGUG